CCUACGGGAGGCAGCAGUGGGGAAUAUUGCACAAUGGGGGAAACCCUGAUGCAGCGACGCCGCGUGAGUGAAGAAGUAAUUCGUUAUGUAAAGCUCUAUCAGCAGGGAAGAAAAUGACGGUACCUGAGUAAGAAGCCCCGGCUAACUACGUGCCAGCAGCCGCGGUAAUAAGUAGGGGGCAAGCGUUAUCCGGAUUUACUGGGUGUAAAGGGAGCGUAGACGGCAGUGCAAGUCUGGAGUGAAAGGCGGGGGCUCAACCCCCGGAGUGCUCUGGAAACUGUACGGCUGGAGUGCAGGAGAGGUAAGUGGAAUUCCUAGUGUAGCGGUGAAAUGCGUAGAUAUUAGGAGGAACACCAGUGGCGAAGGCGGCUUACUGGACUGUAACUGACGUUGAGGCUCGAAAGCGUGGGGAGCAAACAGGAUUAGAUACCCCUGUAGUC
rnacentral:rRNA from 1 species